AGUAGUCAGUAGUCUGGUAUGAUGAGGUCCAUUUAGAAGGAGACAGUGAUGUGAGUAGUCAGUAGUCUGGUAUGAUGAGGUCCAUUUAGAAGGAGACACAGUGAUGUGAGUAGUCAGUAGUCUGGUAUGAUGAGGUCCAUUUAGAAGGAGACAGUGAUGUCAGUAGUCAGUAGUCUGGUAUGAUGAGGUCCAUUUAGAAGGAGACACAGUGAUGUGAGUAGUCAGUAGUCUGGUAUGAUGAGGUCCAUUUAGAAGGAGACAGUGAUGUGAGUAGUCAGUAGUCUGGUAUGAUGAGGUCCAUUUAGAA